AUACGGAGGAUGCGAGCGUUAUCCGGGUUUAUUGGGUUUAAAGGGUGCGUAGGUGGGAUAUUAAGUCAGCUGUGAAAGUUUGGGGCUCAACCUUAAAAUUGCAGUUGAUACUGGUUUCCUUGAGUACGGUACAGGUGGGCGGAAUUCGUGGUGUAGCGGUGAAAUGCUUAGAUAUCACGAAGAACUCCGAUCGCGAAGGCAGCUCACCGGGCCGGAACUGACACUGAUGCUCGAAAGUGCGGGUAUCAAACAGGAUUAGAUACCCUGGUAGUCCGCACAGUAAACGAUGAAUACUCGCUGUUUGCGAUACACGGUAAGCGGCCAAGCGAAAGCGUUAAGUAUUCCACCUGGGGAGUACGCCGGCAACGGUGAAACUCAAAGGAAUUGGCGGGG
rnacentral:rRNA from 1 species